rnacentral:lncRNA from 1 species
UUUGUCCAAUGGGAACUGGAAGAAGCUAACGAGCUCUCUCAGUGUGCCGAAAAGGAUUGAACAAAACUGGAAAAGCCACCCUUCCUUGAGAUACCAUGAGAAUUUACCACUCUUUCUGCGCUGUUUUACUGUUGGGUGGAUUUAUACCAGGAUUUUGUCUCGGACUGUUGAAAUAUUGCAGCGACUCCACAUGUAUGAGGAAGCAGUCAAGGAACUUGAAAGCCUUUUGUCCCAGAGGGUUUAUUGUCCUGACAGCAGAGGCCGGUGGUGGGAUAGACUGGCUCUCAACUUACACCAGCACUUGAAACGCCUUGAACCGGUAUUCAGUAACCAGAUAUACCUGAGCCUUCUUUAACUUCUGCAUAAGUUAAAAUACAUAGCCAGCUAUUAAUACCUUAGAAACCUAAAUGUAGGGGCGCCUGGGUGGCUCAGUCGUUAAGCAUCUGCCUCCGGCUCAGGGCGUGAUCUCGGCGUUCUGGGAUCGAGCCCCACAUCAGGCUCCUCUGCUAGGAGCCUGCUGCUUCCUCUCCCACUCCCCCUGCUUGUGUUCCCUCUCUCGCUGGCUAUCUCUCUCUCUGUCAAAUGAAUAAAAUCUUUAAAAAAAAAGAAAAAAAAGGAACC